CAAAGGCACCCAGUAGCAAACUGGAGAAGGGGUUUAAAAUGUACGCCUCCUCCUACAUUCAUGAAUACGAAGGUGAGUCUGUCAUUCUUGUAUUUUUGUAUCGUCACGGUUAACUAGCUAGCGUUAGCUAGUUGUAGGCUAAUGUAAACAUUGCGUUACCUCAGCGAUAGUAUCGUUAGUAUCUGUGAGGUGAAUAUUUUUUCAGCUAAGUUAAGAAUUUAUGAUUUAACAUGUUUAAGUAUAUAAUUCGAUAUAGCCUAUACAUGAUUGUAACGUUACUUGAAGUACUCUGCUGUAAUCUGUGUGUGUGUAAUUCAUAGUGUCAAAUAAAGACAGGGCGACAGGAGAGGUAGCUGUGCGGGCUUCGUGCUUCAGGUCGAUGAGGAAGCACGAAAAACCUCAUACAGUGAAAGUAGGGUGCCAUUGGUAGUAUAUUGGUUCGAGUUCAACUGUUCUGAGACGUUCAAUCUCAGCUGUUCGUAGAGGUUUAAGUUAGGGUGACCAGAUAACAAAUAUCCGACGAGGCAAAAUCCCGGACGAUUUUGGAAUCAAUUUUUUAGGUCUCAAAAAGAGCACAUGUCCGGGUAAAAGAGGACGUCUGGUCACCCUAUUUAAGUUCAAGAUUUGUACAUUUAAGGUAAAUAGGAGUGUAUGUCUUCAGGGUACUUGUUGUGACCACAAGUCUCUAUUUGAACACACCAUUUAAGGAGGGUGCUCCAUCUCAUGCCAACAGUUUGUUUGUAAGCCAAAUAUAUUCAUAUGUACUGACUGAAAAUGAUCUAUCAACAGAUUGUUCUCCGAGAUACAGUGCCUGUCAUCUUGGUGAUGUGCAGGUGCUCAUGUGUGGCUGGUACUGCCAUGUGCAACCACACAGUUGCUCUGCUGUUCCAGACAGCCCACUUCUCCCAGCUCAGUGUGCCAGUGGUUCCACCGGUUCACAGCUGUACAGAAGAGGAGCAACAAUGGCACAAACCACGGACAGCUGGUAUAAAACCAGGACCAGUUGGCAAGAUGGUGGUUACAAAGCCUGUGCAAGGCCGGAUGUGUAAAGGCGGCUUACGGAGUACUCUGAUGAGAGGGAUGGUUGGCCCACUUCCUGACCUGUCUGUGCUGCAUGUGACAGAGGCAUACAGUGGACUAGAUCUACAAGAUAGGCCAAUGGUGACAACAAUGGGUAUGAGUGCGAACAAAACACUAGCAGAGUCAGAGUUUGGACCGGUGCAGAGAGGAAGUGUUUUAUCCUAUCAACAGCCCAAACUCCUCUCUAAAAACAUUGUGUGGCAUCCGAAUGCUCCACCCUCUCCCAAUCUUCCCCUGGAGG